ensembl:lncRNA
CUUGUCCUGUAGUCAUAACAGUCAGUCUCUGCCUUGGUCUGUCUUGUCCUGUAGUCAUAACAGUCAGUCUCUGCCUUGGUCUGUCUUGUCCUGUAGUCCUAGCAGUCAGUCUCUGCCUUGGUCUGUCUGAUGACCUGUCCCAUGUGGCGCAGAGCAUAUGAAAGUGGAGUCACAUUGUUCAUUUAGGAAGAGGAAGAAUGAUGCCUAAGCUUCUGAAGACGUGUGUUGUCUUGUACUGCAGUUGUAGCAGUCACUUUGUCUCUGCCCUGGUGUGAUGACAUGGCUUGACCUGGGUCCCAUCAUGAUCAGAGCAGAACACUUCAGGUCACUCAGUCCUGUAGCUGUUAUCUGUCAUCACUAGCUACUGCAGGCUACUGUAGCCUGUAGCUGUUAUCUGUCAUCACUAGCUACUGCAGGCUACUGUAGCCUGUAGCUGUUAUCUGUCAUCACUAGCUACUGCAGGCUACUGUAGCCUGUAGCUGUUAUCUGUCAUCACUAGCUACUGCAGGCUACUGUAGCCUGUAGCUGUUAUCUGUCAUCACUAGCUACUGCAGGCUACUGUAGCCUGUAGUAGCAUGUAGUAGCCUGUAGUAGCCUGUAGUAGUCUGUAGUAGUCUGUAAUAGUCUGUAGUAGCCUGUAGUAGUCUGUAAUAGUCUGUAAUAGUCUGAAGUAACCUGUAAUAGUCUGUAGUAGCCUGUAAUAGUCUGUAAUAGUCUGUAGUAACCUGUAAUAGUCUGUAGUAGCCUGUAGUAGCCUGUAGUAGCAUGUAGUAGUCUGUAGUAGUCUGUAGUAGCAUGUAGUAGUCUGUAGUAACCUGCAAUAGUCUGUAGUAGCCUGUACACUACUGGUUAUAGUUUGGACACACCUACUCAUUCAAGGGUUUUUCUUUAUUUUUACUAUUUUCUACAUUGCAGAAGACAUCAAAACUAUGAAAAACGCAUAUGGAAUCUUGUAGUAACCAAAAAAGUGUUAAACAUAUCAACACAUAUUUUAUAUUUGAGAUUCUUCAAAGUAGCCACCCUUUGCCUUGACGACAGCUUUGCACACUAUUGGCAUUCUCUCAACCAGCUUCAUGAGGUAGUCACCUGGAAUGCAUUUCAAUGAACAGGUGUGCCUUCUUAAAAGUUCAUUUGUGGAAUUUCUUUCCUUCUUGAUGCGUUUGAGCCAGUUGUGUUGUGACAAGGUAGGGGUGGUAUACAGAAGAUAGCCCUAUUUGGUAAAAGACCAAGUCCAUAUUAUUGGCAAGAACAGCUCAAAUAAGCAAAGAGAAAUUACAUUCACUCAUUACUUUAACCUCUCUGGGCUAGGGGGCAGUAUUUUGACAUGUGGAUGAAAAGCGUUCCCAAAGUAAACUGCCUGCUACUCAGGUCCAGAAGCUAGGAUAUGCAUCUAAUUAGUAGAUUUGGAUAGAAAACACUCUAAAGUUACCAAAACUGUUAAAAUAAUGUCUGUGAGUAUAACAGAACUGAUAUGGCAGGCAGAAACCUGAGAAAAAUCCAUCCAGGAAGUGGGAUUUCUUUAUGUUUGCAGUUUUCCAUUGACUGCCUAUACAGUAUCCAAUGACUUAGGACUCAGAUUGCACUUCCUAUGGCUUCCACUAGAUGUCAACAGUCUUUAGAAAUGGUUUCAGGCUUGUAUUCUGAAAAAUUAGGAAGUAAGACCACUCUGAGUGAGUGGACCCUGGGAAGUCCCCAGAGCUGCUGAGCCGAUCGAGAGCACACCUUUCUUGUUUUUCUUUUAUAUUGACGAAGCUAUGGUCCGGUUGAAAUAUUAUUGAUUAUUAUGACUAAAAACAACCCGAGGAUUGAUUAUCAAUCUCGUUUGACAUGUUUCUAUGAACUUUACGAAUACUUUUUAGAUUUUUAGUCUGCCUGUUGUGAUUGACUUUGAGCCAAUGGAUUACUGAACAAAACACGUCAACAAAACUGAGGUUUUUGGAUAUAAAGAUGGACUUUAUAGAACAAAACAAACAUUUAUUGUAUAUCUGGGAGUCUUGGGAGUGCAACCAUAUGAAGGUCAUCAAAGGUAAGUGAUUAAUUAUAUCACUAUUUCUGACUUUUGUUACUUCUCUACUUGGCUGGUAACUGUUUGUAAUGUUUUGUGUGCUGGGCGAUAUCCUCAGAUAAUCGCAUGGUAUGCUUUCACUGUAAAGCCUAUUUGAAAUCUGACACAACGGUUGGAUUAACAAGAAGUUAAUAUUUAAGUCGAUGUAUUACACUUAUAUGUUUUAUCAAUUUUUAUUUUGAGUAUUUCUGUUUUUGAAUUUGGCGCUCUGCAAUUUCACCGUAUGUUGGCCAGGUGGGACGGUAGCGUCCCACAUACCCUAGAGAGGUUUUAAGACAUGAAGGUGAGUCAAUACAGAACAUUUCAAGAACUUUCAAAGUUUCUACAACCAUGAAGUGCUAUGAUGAAUCUGGCUCUCAUGAGGACCGCCACAGGAAUGGAAGACCCAGAGCUACCUCUGCUACAGAAGAUAAGUCCACUAGAGUUACCAGCCUCAGAAAUUGCGGCCCAAAUAAAUGCUUCACAGAGUUCAAGUAACAGACACAUCUCAACGUCAACUGUUCAUAGGAGACUGUGUGAAUCAGGUCUUCAUGGUUGAAUUGCUGCAAAGAAACCACUACUAAAGGACAACAAUAAGAAGAGAUUUGCUUAGGCCAAGAAACACGACCAAUGAACAUUUGACUGGUGGAAAUUUGUCCUUUGGUCUGAUGAGUCCAAAUUUGAGAUUUUUGGUUCCAACCACCGUUUCUUUGUGAGAUGCGGUGUGGGUGAACGGAUGAUCUCUGCAUGUGUGGUUCCCACCGUGAAGCAUGGAGGAAGAGGUGUGAUGGUGCUUUGCUGGAGACACUGUCUGUGAUUAAUUUAGAAUUCAAGGCACAAUUAACCAGCAUGGCUACCACAGCAUUCUGCAGCGAUACGCCAUCCCAUCUGGUUUGGACUUAGUGGGACUGACUAUCAGUUGUUUUUCAACAGGACAAUGACCCCCUCCACACCUCCAGGCUGUGUAAGGGCUAUUUGACCAAGAAGGAGAGUGAUGGAUUACUGCAUCAGAUAACCUGGUCUCCACAAUCCCUCGACCUCAACCAAAUUGAGAUGGUUUGGGAUGAGUUGGACCUCAGAGUGAAGGAAAAUCAGCCAACAAGUGCUCAGCAUAUGUGGGAACUCCUUCAAGACUGUUAGAAAAGCAUUCCAGGUGAAGCUGGUUGAGAGAAUACCAAGCGUGUGCAAAGCUGUCAUUAAGGCAAGGGGUGGCUAUUUGAAGAAUCUCAAAUAUAAAAUUAAAAAAUAUAACACUUUUUUGGUUACUACAUGAUUCCAUAUGUGUUAUGUCUUGACUAUUAUUCUACAAUGUAGAAAAUAGUAAAAAAAUAAAGAAAAACCCUUGAAUGAGAAGGUGUUCUAAAACGUUUUACCGGUAGUGUAGUAGCCUGUAGUAGUCUAUGGUAGCCUGUAAUAGUCUGUAGUAGCCUGUAGUAGUCUAUGUUAGCCUGUAAUAGUCUGUAGUAGCCUGUAGUAGUCUAUGGUAGCCUGUAAUAGUCUGUGGUAGCCUGUAGUAGUCUAUGGUAGCCUGUAGUAGUCUAUGGUAGCCUGUAAUAGUCUUUAGUAGCCUGUAGUAGUCUGUGGUAGCCUGUAGUAGUCUAUGGUAGCCUGUAAUAGUCUGUAGUAGCCUGUAGUAGUCUGUGGUAGCCUGUAGUAGUCUGUGGUAGCCUGUAAUAGUCUGUAGUAGUCUGUAGUAGUCUGUGGUAGCCUGUAGUAGCCUGCAGUAGCCUUUAAGUAGUCUGUAGUAGUCUGUAGUAGUAUGAUGUAGUAGCCUGUAGGCCUGUAAUAGUCUGUAGUAGCCUACAGUAUUCUCUAAUAGUCUGUAGUAGUCUGUAGGCCUGUCUCUUCUCUUUCCUCCCACCAAGUGGCUCCUCUAGGAUACCUUCCAAAUGCCACUCUAUUCCCUUUAUAGUGCAGUAUUAUCCCCCAGUGGCCAUAGGGCUCUGGUCAAAAGUAACACACUCUAUAGGGAAUCGGGUGUCAUUUGGGAUGUUCUUCUAGUAAGGGUGCUCCUUCGCAUCUCAGGAGGAGGAGAAGGGCUACCCCUUCUCCUCCUCCCUCCCCCAGCUAGUUAAUCUAAUAGGGGUACCCCUUCUCCUCCACCAGCUGGUUCAUCUAGUAGGGCUACCCCUUCUCCUCCUCCACCAGCUGGUUCAUCUAGUAGGGCUACCCCUUCUCCUCCUCCACCAGCUGGUUCAUCUAGUAGGGCUACCCCUUCUCCUCCUCCACCAGCUGGUUUAUCUAGUAGGGCUACCCCUUCUCCUCUCCUCCCCCAGCUGGUUCAUCUAGUAGGGCUACCCCUUCUCCUCCACCAGCUGGUUCAUCUAGUAGGGCUACCCCUUCUCCUCCUCCACCAGCUGGUUUAUCUAGUAGGGCUACCCCUUCUCCUCUCCUCCCCCAGCUGGUUCAUCUAGUAGGGCUACCCCUUCUCCUCUCCUCCCCCAGCUGGUUCAUCUAGUAGGGCUACCCCUCCCCCUCCUC